UACGGAGGGUGCGAGCGUUGUCCGGAAUCACUGGGCGUAAAGGGCGCGUAGGUGGCGGAGCAAGUCAACGGUGAAAGCUCGACGCUCAACGUCGAGUCGGCCGUCGAUACUGCUUUGCUCGAGCACUGUAGAGGCAGAUGGAAUUCCUGGUGUAGCGGUGAAAUGCGCAGAUAUCAGGAAGAACACCAAUGGCGAAGGCAGCUCUCUGGGACGGUACUGACACUGAGACGCGAAAGCGUGGGGAGCGAACAGG
rnacentral:rRNA from 1 species